rnacentral:rRNA from 1 species
AGAGUUUGAUCCUGGCUCAGGACGAACGCUGGCGGCGCGCCUAACACAUGCAAGUCGAACGAGAGAUGAGGAGCUUGCUCUUCAAAUCGAGUGGCGAACGGGUGAGUAACGCGUGAGGAACCUGCCUCAAAGAGGGGGACAACAGUUGGAAACGACUGCUAAUACCGCAUAAGCCCACGGCUCGGCAUCGAGCAGAGGGAAAAGGAGCAAUCCGCUUUGAGAUGGCCUCGCGUCCGAUUAGCUAGUUGGUGAGGUAACGGCCCACCAAGGCGACGAUCGGUAGCCGGACUGAGAGGUUGAACGGCCACAUUGGGACUGAGACACGGCCCAGACUCCUACGGGAGGCAGCAGUGGGGAAUAUUGCACAAUGGGGGAAACCCUGAUGCAGCGACGCCGCGUGGAGGAAGAAGGUCUUCGGAUUGUAAACUCCUGUUGUUGAGGAAGAUAAUGACGGUACUCAACAAGGAAGUGACGGCUAACUACGUGCCAGCAGCCGCGGUAAAACGUAGGUCACAAGCGUUGUCCGGAAUUACUGGGUGUAAAGGGAGCGCAGGCGGGAGAACAAGUUGGAAGUGAAAUCCAUGGGCUCAACCCAUGAACUGCUUUCAAAACUGUUUUUCUUGAGUAGUGCAGAGGUAGGCGGAAUUCCCGGUGUAGCGGUGGAAUGCGUAGAUAUCGGGAGGAACACCAGUGGCGAAGGCGGCCUACUGGGCACCAACUGACGCUGAGGCUCGAAAGUGUGGGUAGCAAACAGGAUUAGAUACCCUGGUAGUCCACACCGUAAACGAUGAUUACUAGGUGUUGGAGGAUUGACCCCUUCAGUGCCGCAGUUAACACAAUAAGUAAUCCACCUGGGGAGUACGACCGCAAGGUUGAAACUCAAAGGAAUUGACGGGGGCCC